UUUUGGACUUUGUGUGUUGGGCUUUACGAUUCUUUAUGCUGGUCGAACUAAAGCGACAAAACUCAUAUCGUCUUCCUUGGUUUCAGAAGAAGUUUAGGGUUCAUCCUCUUCUUCCCGUGAACUUCUUCAACUUCAGCAUCCCACUCUGGUCCAUCGAUUUUUUUUUGGUUUUUACAAUGGAACUAAACUUUGGAUUAAGGACCCUAUCAAUUUGGGUGAGGGUUGAUCCAGGGUUACCCGAACCAUAAAAUCUUCCAGAUCUCAAUCUCCGUUAUGGACCAAUUACCUAUCAUGACGAAGUCAGCAGAAUCUCAUCAUCAAAAGCCAAGGAGCAUCACAAAGUCAUCAGCUAGCUUCCGAGUCACAGUCUGCUGCGACAGAUCUCGAUCAGCUGCAAUCGACGUGUUCAUCCUAAUCGCCCUUAUUAUAACUUAUGAGUUCUUGAUCAUUCCUUAAAAUAAAUUCAUCACCGUUAAAGCCGUUUUUAACAAUUCCGCUGCGGGAUGAUUUCACUAGAAUGGAUUGGUACGGAAACAAAAUUUUAAGUUUUGUGUUCUUCCUUUUUCCCUCUUUCCCUCUGUUUUAUGUGUUCUCUACAGCCGUUUGUGUUGUGGUAAAGGGCUCGGCGGAAAGUGUUUAUAUGAGAAGAAAUGCUGCAUAUCAAGCUAUCAAGAGAUAAAACAAUGUACUGUUAGUGGACGAGACUGUAGCUCACCGUCAACGUCCCCCGUCUCACCACUUACCUCUGCUGAUUCGGUUUAGUGAUUCAACCGAAUUUGAAGAGACGAGUGAGCUACUUGGACUGGCUAACACGAACACUCACUUUCCUAUUGUAGAAGACAUGAUUUGGUUUAAAAGCUGGUGUAGAAGAAAAUUUAGGAUGAGUAGUUAACUCCUGUGUUACAGCCUUUUGUUUUUCUUUUUCAAGUUGCAACCAAAGGUAUGCCAUCUGGAUUUUUUUUCCUUUUUCCAAAUUGUAACAGAAUCUAUCGUUUCUUUCAUUUGAGAUUUGAUAUAUUGUUUGCAAUUAAUUACUGUUUCUUCAGCAGCUACCAAAGCCUUGGAUAUAUGCAAAACUGCGAAAGCCAGAGAUAUAUGUCAUCUUCCGGUAACUGAAUAGCUCAAAAAGUGUGAAUCUUUACGUUGUGAAGGUGCUGCACUUCUCUUUGCUUCUCAUUUGUGUCCUCUACAGUUUCCAUUUUCAGUAGCUGAAUCUGCCAAUACACAUUUACAAGAUGAGCUAAUGGGUUUUACAAAGCAACACACGAGAGAGAUAGCAUUAAACGUGAUCAAGCUGCGAAGGAAACAAUAAAAGCAUCACAAUCACACCUUCUUCACCUUAAGAAGACAAUAAUAGACGUUUUCUUUUUGCCAUCAUCAUUCCCUUUUGUCCGGAUACAAAGAUGUUUGGUGGGACAAAAAUACUUUGUAUCACCUAAUAAUAUAUGUUGUAUAAUGUAUACACUGUUAUAAAAAGAACUGGAAUUUUAUUGUA